CCAAACCAAAUCCUAUUUAGGUGCACUACAAAAAAAACGAUCUACAGCGAUACUUUUAAAUAUCGGUAUAAGUCAAAAAAAGUGUUGCUAGUUAAAUUACCGACACUUUUAAAAAGUGUUGCUAUAUAUGGAGUUGUUAGGUAUAUAGUGACAGUUAAAAAGUGUCGUUAUAACCUAAAAAAAGUGCUGCUAAUUUACCAACAUUUAUUUAAACAUUUAGCAAUUGCCGGAACUCUACUUCGUUGGCUGCAGUGGCAGAGGAGGACGAGAGGGAAGAGUUUUUCGUCUAGAAUUUCAGUGGAUUAAGUGAGGGGAGAAUGGGAGAUGAUAAUCGAUUUUUUUUUUCUUUUCUGUUUAUAAUCGGGCCGAAUAAGCUGGGUGGAUUGGGUUGAAUCGAGUAACCUUUUAGUUUUAGUUUGAUUGGCUUUAUAUUUAGGUAUUAGUAGAUUUUUUUUAAAGUUUUGACAUAAAUGGGACACUUACACAAAAGUGUCCCAAACAUAUGUUCCUAUAACCUAAUUCUGUUGUAGUGGUGUUAGUAAAUUUUUUUUCUCUUUUAAUUCUUUAAUUAGGAUGCAAAAU
rnacentral:lncRNA from 1 species